GAGAAGAUGCUUGUUUACUUCAUCUCUUGCAAAGGUUCUUGGUGUGGAAUCAGAGUGAUACUCUACCUACCCACCUCCACUUCAUCUGACAUGAAGUAUCUAACACAGCUCUGAACUCAGGAAGUAUUACCUGGUUCUAUAUGCAACUGAGAUAAAGUGGAAUUAAUUUCCAAGGCCAUACCAAAGAAUCUUUUACAGGGUAGGUUGCAGAUUUGCUCCAGGGCCUUUGUUAUGAGUUUAUUACUACCAAAUUUCUAAGAAUCUGUUAAAUUAGUAGCAUUACAAAAUUUCUGCUUGAUCUUUUUAACUUCUUCUUUAUGGGCAGAAAAUCUGAAUCAAAGUCACACUGUCUCCUCCUGUUUGUCAAGUCUGCAAGUACUAAUUUAAGUGAUAACUACAAGAGCUGAAGUAGUUGCCUGUGAGACAGCGACUUUGAAAUUUCACAACAGUACUGUUUCAAAUGUCACACUUGUUAACUGUUGAAGUAAAGAUUUCUAACUUCUUCAUCUAUGGUAGAAAAACCCUGUGAUUUUGCAAUCCGGUAUCUUUUGCAUUAACACUGAUGUGGUACGACAAGUUUCCUGAGGCUUAUAGACUCCGGCACUUGUCUGGAUUUAAAAAAGGAGUAACCCCCUAACCCAUCCUUGACAAGACAGUUUGUAAUUCUUUCAGGAUUACAGGAAGACUGCUUGUUCUAAACGGAGAUUUCAGGUGAUACUGUGAAAGGAUUCAGAAUGGCCACUAACACUGUAUUUAGAGAGAGAACUGGGAUUUUCUUCGACAAUAGUUUUGCAUGGUCUCUUCAUCUUCCUGAUAUAUGGGGUGUACAACACAGAGGUAAGUCUGCUUGGAGUAUCUCAAGGCUGACAGAGUGAAUGAGAGAAAUGACAGGUUUCUUAUCUUGAUAACUGAGGGACAAAG